AAUACGAUAUCGCCGCAUCCAUUGCGGUAUAUUACGCUAUGAUAAUAAUACAAUAAUAAUAACGUGUACUUACCUCCGGAACGUACGUACGUAUAAUGAUAAUGCGAACGGCGGCGUCGUCGAGAGAUCUCCAAAACGGUGAAACGGAUGUGGUACGGGCCGUCGAAAACAAUCGUCGUGGGCGUCGAUCCUCCGCCGCCGAUGAUGCUGCGUGCACAGAGAUAAUCCGA